UCUGUGCUGCAUGACAUUCGACCGACAGUAUAUUCGCCGCUCGAGAGACGGAACCAGGGGGACACGUUGUAGACCUCCAGAACUAUUUUACAGUGAUGCGUUUGCGACAGUAGGGUAGAUGAGAGCUGGGAUCACUCAAAACGGGAGAACGAGCAGAACGCGAAAGUAAACGGCAGUUUAUGUCAUGUUUGGAAGUUUUGACAGAUCUCGUAAAACAGAGUAUAUACAUUGAAUGUUAUUGUAAGCACAAUUCUGGGGUUGACAUACAGUAGGAGUGGGAGUUUCUGUAGUCGCAUGUUCCCCUUUUCCAAUGGACACGCAUUUGGAGACCCCUGGUACACCAAGUAGACCUAUGGAAUUACUUCUGUAAUGUGGAUUGCAAUUUUAUUUGAAAAAAAUAAAGGUCUACUUCAGAACAAUGUGAGAAGAUACGCGUCCUGGAUUUUCAUGUUUCUGGAUAUCUUGAAAAUUAUUGGCAACAGCUGAAAGUCGCUAUGCUCAAGGGAUUUCUGCUCAGGUGUCUUGCCUGCUCCGACCGUGGGACCAAAAUGGAUUUGACGCCACUGCAACCCCCCGUCCCCCAUUAACAGAAGUUCUAACAGUUCUUACACUUUGUUAUUAACCUACGGUUUUAAAUUUGACAAAUGCUUUGGAAGAAAUCGCAAGACGACCAGCAUGGAUUUUAAAUCGACAUUUGCAUUUGGAAUUUCAAUCAUGAACUUUGUUGACAGUUUGAUAACCUUAUUUCUCCUGACGCUUCUGUAUUUGUCAGCUGUCAAGAGUGCCCACAUACCGAAAGAAGGAUGGAGGAUUUCGCAUGACGGCGUCCCAGGCUACAAUGUUUUUAGUGCUUCAGUGCAGAAGGUACCAAGCUUUGUGGGGCUGAGAGAGGGAUUGAAAGAGGGAGUCAGUACAGAAGCAUACCAGAGCCACAGUGAGAGAGGAAAUGAGAGAGACACCUUGAUGGUGAUAUCCUUCAUGGAGGUGUACAAUAAGAGCCUAUGUCAGCCCAGGGAGCUGCUGGUAGAGAUCGCACAGGAGUACCCAGAGGAGGUAGAACAUAUCUUCAUCCCAUCCUGUGUGGUGCUGACGCGCUGCGCAGGAUGCUGCAACGAUGAGAUGCUAGAGUGCACGCCAACCUCCACGCAUAACAUAACCAUGGAGAUAAAAAGAAUAAAACCCCAAAGGCAAGAAAAUGAUAUCUUUAUGAGUUUUACAGAACACAGUGCAUGUGAAUGCAGGCCAAAGAAAGAAGUGAAAGAACAGAGACAAAAAAAACCCCGGAAAGGCAAGGGCAAAGGCCAAAAGAGAAAGCGAAAGAAAAACCAUGACCAAAAGAAUCGUGAAGCGUAUGUCAGCUCGGCCUUCUCCUCUCCCAACCUGCACUUGAGUGUGGCACUUCUGAUUGUUAAGCUUAUUUGGGAGGAGUUAAUUUGCCCCUUUUUAAUUAAUUAAUUUGCUCACUCACUAUUCACAGCCCCACCACUCCACCCAAUACCACCACAUGCAUCAAUUGGCAUGAAGUUUUUCUGAACCCCCACCCCACCGGAGUAGGUAGAAGUCGUCCCUGAAUAAUAAAUAACAUCUGAUCCUAUAUCUAUGGUUAGGGGUGACUUCAACCUCAAAUCACUACAACUCACGCGAUUCGCCCAUAACCCUGCCUCCAUACCUCACUGCCACCCUCACCCCACCCCCCGGUGAUAAGGAACCCUAGGGAGGGAUGGAGGGAAAGUAUGGAAUGAUAGGGUAAAGAGAACAGAACUGAACCAACCAGCAUGGCUUUUUGCUGACGAUCUUACUAAUCCGGUAUCUGUUGUGGGGAUCAUCCAAGGCCUACAUCAGUGUUGAGUCUGUCUCGCUUUGCUGUGUCUCACACUCGCCAUUUUCCCCCUUUCUUCUUCUGUUUCUUUUCAUCUCUCCAAACAGGUUUUUGCUGUUCCGUCUGCCAUAUCUGGGCUUUGUUUGCAAUGUGAGCAUAUGAGAGAUGGCAAUCACAUUGUUGUUUCUUUCUGGGUUAUGUAAACCAACAACUUGUUUAGCCCGUUCUAUUUGUGCGUUCUUUUUGUCUCCAUGGGUCUCAACAACAAAAAUGUUUAGUUUUCAAUAGAAAGAGUUGCUCAUGUUUCUGCAAUGGGUUUAAUGUCAAAUAAUAGAGUUGUUCUGUUCACAUUGCUGUUCCUUUAGUUCUCAAUGGAAUGUCUGUCUGUCAUCCCCCCAUACUCUGUGAAAAUGGUUUGGUCCACUAUCAACCCCUCUGUGUGGAAACAGAAUGGUACAGUCUCUCUAGUGUUCUUUGUCAUUUAAACCAGAUCUAUUCUCUUAUCUACUGGUUCUCUAUCUAAUCUGUGUCUACAGGUGUAGGAUCUUAACUUGAGCCAGUUUGCUACAGCAGGAAAAUAAUCUUCCAGCAACAGGAAAUGUGGAUUAUAAUUAAUGGGUUCAUACAUUUUUCGUUACGGCAAAUCAAGUCUGAAAUUUUAACUCGCACUGCAAGUUUUCCUGCUGUGCAGGAAAGUUCUCAGCAACAAAUGAGUGAUCAUAUUAAGAUCAUACAUCUGAAUGGGAAAAACAAUACUUUUAAUAUUUUAAUUCAAUAAAAUCGAAUCCUGUAUCUUUACGCACAAAGACGACCUCUGAGUUUUAUUUGACUAUGUAAAAAGAGAGUUUUGGGAUGUGUUGAAUUUGACAGUGUUUUGUGUUGUAAGCCUCACGUCCCUGCCAAAGCUUGCUGGUGCAUGUCUAACCGAAACAAUGCAUACUAUACGUGGGCCAGCCAAUCAUCAGGAAUCACUCCCCCUACCACCCUACGAGACAGUAGGAGGAGGUCACCCUGCCACCAUAGGAUGAGUUGGGGAGAGGGCGAUGGUUUUGGGGUCAGUGCAAGCCAUGUUGUGAUGGCUGUUCAGAGAGGAGGAAGCAGGGGUUCAUCCAGGACCCUCUGACCUGCCAGUGUUCCUGCAGAAACUCCAAUGCCCACUGCCGGGCGCGUUACCUGGAGCUCAACGAGAGGACCUGCAGAUGUGACAAGCCAAGAAGAUGAGAGGCCAAACUUCAGAUGGCAUGAUGGAAUAUUCACAAGAUGUUUCACAGCUCAGCACUUUGAACUUUAAACUCGAAGCUCAUUUUCUCUGUGGAAAGCAUUCAUCUGGACUGACUGAGAAACAGCAGAGAGAGAAGAGAAAGAAAAUGAACAGACAGAAAAAUCAUCCCAAUGUAGAUCUGUAUAUACUAAAGUAUAUACUAAAAGUACAGAAUUUUUAUUGCUGCUAAAAGAAAACUAACUAAAACCCAUCAUUAUAAAAAAAGCAAACAGCUGUGUGGUUUUGUAUUUCACUGGCGUGUGACCGGACUGCAGUUUUGUUGUAAUUUCAUUUAUGCUAAUUCUUCACUGGAUAUAUAUGAGUGGUUAUGUGUCGAAUCAGAAACAACAACCUAGCUAUGUGAUACAUAUAUCAGCAGAAAAGAGGAGGAAGAGAAGAAGGGAGAACAUUCUUGGAGGGAUGGAAAGUACUGACCCAUAGACUCCCGUUGCAGGAACCCAAUUGCAAUGGCAGGACAGCCAAUGGGAAAACGGGGAUCUGUCCCUUUGUGACAAUUUAUUUGACCUGAAAGCAAGUUCUAGAACUGAUGCGUAGAACUUGUGGAAUGCUAGAACUGUUUCUUUUGCUGCCCUUUCUAGCAGUGGAACUGGAUUUGGAGUGCCAUAAUACUUCUAAAGGGAUACUGAUGAUUGAUUUUGGUAUACAUGGAAACCUCUAGAAACAACUGAUACUGUAGCUUGAUUCCAUUGAGAAACUGUGCCUCACAAACUGUGCUGAUCACUUCAGAGUGAGAAAUCCUGAAUCUGCUUCUUAAAUUAUUUAAUUUUUUCAGAGGGGAGGGGGAUGGUACACUGUCUGCGGUUGAACUCAAUACAGAAUGCAAUAGUAUCGAUGGCAAGCUGUCUAUCUGUAUAUAUACUAUACAUACUUAAUAUCCCUUAUGUCAUAGUCCGCUAUAGAUAAUUUAUAAUGUUAGAGUAUUUUCAGUAUUCAGUCCUCUACCCGUAUUUAAUUUGAUCUAUUUAUAUAUACAGUGUUAUGUUCUUUUGGGUUUCCCCCCUCCCCGCUAUGUGAUGUCAUUAUCGUCUCCUCUCUGCCUAGCUACAAGGAGACACUGCUCUUGGCUUUUAUAAGAAAAGAAAAUCUUUAUGUAAACAUUCCUCAAAUGGAUCAUUUGUAUGGACGGCCUAUUUAGGGUGGGGGUGCUGUGUGUGUGUGUGUGUGUGUGUGUGUGUGUGUGUGUGUGUGUGUGUGUGUGUGUGUGUGUGUGUGUGUGUGUGUGUGUGUGUGUGUGUGUGUGUGUGUGUGUGUGUGUGUGUGUGUGUGUGUGCGUGCGUGCGUUUUAGGCAGAGUAGGCUUAUGCUUGUCUUGAGCUCCACCGCGCAAAUAACAAUAAACCCUUGUUAAAAGAAA